GACAGAGGUGCCAAGCGUUAGGCGGAAUCACUGGGCUUAAAGCGUGCGCAGGCGGUUGUGCAAGACAGAUGUGAAAUCCCCGGGCUUAACCUGGGAAUUGCAUUUGUGACUGCACGGCUAGAGUGUGUCAGAGGGGGGUAGAAUUCCACGUGUAGCAGUGAAAUGCGUAGAUAUGUGGAGGAAUACCGAUGGCGAAGGCAGCCCCCUGGGAUAACACUGACGCUCUGCACGAAAGCGUGGGGAGCAAACAGG
rnacentral:rRNA from 1 species